rnacentral:rRNA from 1 species
UGGUGGUAAUAGCGAAAGUGUCCCACCCGAUCCCAUUCCGAACUCGGCCGUUAAACCUUUCAACGCCCAUGGUACUUUGCCUUAAGGCACGGGAGAGUAGGUAGCUGCCAGAUC